AGUGAACGCUGGCGGCGUGCCUAAUACAUGCAAGUCGAACGGAGUGGCGCACGGGUGAGUAAUAUAUAGCUAAUCUGCCCCUUGCUGGAGGACAACAGUUAAAAAUGACUGCUAAUACUCCAUAGCAAGGGAUGAGACUAUAUCGUAUCAGCUAGUCGGUGGGGUAACGGCCUACCGAGGCUAUGACGCGUAACUGGUCUGAGAGGAUGAUAAGGUAGAUUGGAACUGAGACACGGUAAAAAAUCCUACGGUAGGCAGCAGUAUGGAAUAUUGAGCAAUGGGGAAAACCCUGACAAAGCAACGCCGCUUGGAGGAUGACAAUGUUCGGAGCGUAAACUCCUUUUGUUAGGGAAGCGGUACCUAACGAAUAAGCACCGGCUAACUCCGUGCCAGCAGCCGCGGUAAUAC
rnacentral:rRNA from 1 species